GCACUGCUGAGGAGUGCCACAACAGGACGAAACGGCCGUCCAGUGC
rnacentral:hammerhead_ribozyme from 1 species